UACGAAGGGGGCUAGCGUUGUUCGGAUUUACUGGGCGUAAAGAGCUCGUAGGCGGUUUGUCGCGUCUGCUGUGAAAACCUAAGGCUCAACCUUGGGCUUGCAGUGGGUACGGGCAGACUAGAGUGCGGUAGGGGGUGACUGGAAUUCCUGGUGUAGCGGUGGAAUGCGCAGAUAUCAGGAGGAACACCGAUGGCGAAGGCAGGUCACUGGGCCGCAACUGACGCUGAGGAGCGAAAGCAUGGGGAGCGAACAGG
rnacentral:rRNA from 1 species